AUUUUUAUGUUCUUUUUUGGCUGACAUGUAUGGCAAGCAAUUCCAAACAGUCCGAGCAAUUUGAGGGAACAAUGGAUUAAUCUAAAAGAUCGUGGCUGAGCAUGGACCCCUGCCAAUCUCGCGGAGGCCUCCCAACUUCUUCUGGUGAAAACGAGAGCCUCCAGCCAGCUCUGCCUGGUAAACAGGGAGCGCAUUUGUGCAGGCGCGCCGACUAAACAGUGCCUGGCAAACAGACCACCGGCUUGGCUGUGGCUGUGAGCAGAAACCUUCCACUUCUCAGCACUUAGCAACCGAGCCAAGCGUUGUUCCCGGAGCCAGGCAGGCAGGCUCGAUUUGAUUUACAUUCUUGUUAGGACGCAAAGCUUUCGCUUGGCAGUUCAAGGGCAGGACAGGAACCGUGCAAGCAGAGUCUUGUGAACGGAAAUCUCUCAUUUACAAGGUUCUGCUCCGUCACCGAAAGCCACCCUCGAGCACAUUUGUUCCGCACGCAGCUCCCUUUUAUCUUCUUCACUCGCUCCUUCUUCCCACGGCUCGAAAGGCGGCGAGGACUGGGGGAGGGAGCCGGUGGGGAGCUACAAGCAAAUGCUACAGAAGCAAGUGAGCUCGGCUUGGCCUCCCGCUUAGGCCCAGGGCAGGCAGAAUGUAAAUAGGAAAACGAGCUUCGGCUCCACGCGUAGACGAGAGUCUUCAAGGCCAGACAAACAGAACUCAAGCACGUGAUCAGGCUACCCUGCAAGUCUGUGAAGGCAGCGAAAGGGGGAAGAAUCUCCUCCCCCGUCACUUUAUGGGCUCGGAGCAAGGAGACGCUUGGAUAAAUUCUGAUAGAAGGCCAAGAGCCAGGACUGUUAAAAACUUCUCAGUAUCUCACCUGGUGGAUAUCCUUAAUUUGAAAUGGUAAAAUUCAGAUCCUGAAUCAGCUAUUGGGAGAAAGACAUACUGAAAUAAAUGUAAUCAGGUACAAUAGAUAAGUAAAUAGAGAUCAACGUUCUGCAUUUAUGUCCUGUGGAAAGUUAUACAGAAGGAUGUUGUAAGGAUAAUCUGAAAUUUAAUGGACACUUUUGCUUCAAUCCUCCUUGAAAAAAAUACACUGAAUUACAAAAUCAAGAUAUUACAAAAUAGUCAGUUUGUGUGGUCUAUUUGCCUUGAUUGUUAGCUUGGAAUUACAUAUCAGAAUAUUUUUCAAAAGAACAAAUAUCUACACUUUGUAGAAAUAAUUACCACAUAGUUAUUCAAUAGUAAAUACAAUGAUUCCUUAAUUACUUGAAUAGUGUACAGCUUUCACAUGAGAUUUUCUCAGAUUCCCCUCACAAGUAUGUAUCAAGGCUGUGAUGUUCACUUUGGAAGAAAGGUGCUACUCCCUCUUCUACACCCAAAAUAAAUGUUCUUCAUUUAUAUUUAUCAUCUGCAUUCACAUGCUAUAUUAAGCCAUAUCUUGGUUUCUUUCUUGGUUUACCAUCUUGUCUAAAUCCAUUGAAAACCUUACUUAAUGCUAAGUGAAUUGUGUGAAUCUAGCUAGUUGUGGCUCCUUUAAUUUACUUUGAUUAAAGAAACUAUGGUUUAUUAUGAUAUGUGAACCAUUCAUUUUCCACUAUUUUUUUCCUUAUCACAUGCUUGGGGAAGUGAUUUUCUAGCUAACUUUAUAACUUCAGUUGAUUUGCUAAAAAUUAAAUGUGAACUGAGUUUCCAGGAUUUUAAUUAUUGUGCUAGAAAUUUUGUUGUUUCUAAAUUUUAGGAAGCAGAUAUUCCCAUUUCAGGCAAUUCACCAUUAUUUAAGAAGUAACACAGAGGUGGCUUACCUGUCAGCUAAAGCUCUUUUUGCAACUAUUUUGAAAGUUGGUAUGAACAUAUGUAAUAUGUUUAUUAAAAGACAAAAGGUCCAAAGUUCUAGCUCCUAAGCUCUUGAAAAUACUAUUUUUGUCAAAGAGUUUGAUAUUGCUUUGACAUUUUUCAUAAUUAUUACUUUGUGAUAUUAUGGCCAUUUCCUCAGCCAGCAAAAAGCUAUUUUAUGUAGAAUAAUGUUCUUGUAUGAUAUAGGGAAAGGGAAGCUAUUUUAAGAUUAUUCAUAGAACUAUUUAAUUUAAUAUCAGCUUUGGAGUAGAGAUAUAGUGGUGAAGGACUCUCAGUACUGUGUGCAUGUGCCAUUUAGCCCAAUUAACAAGAUGUUUCAUGCAAUUGCUUUAGCUUGGAAUGAAAGCAGUUCAAGUAAUAUGGGUUCUAUUUGGUGUAUCUUCCUGUCACAUAAUAAGAGUACAACAUAAUUCACAAUAAAUGCUGAAGAGGAAAACAAUUCUAGCAUUCUACUAAUAUUUCUAGCAUUUUCUCUCAAAUGGCUAGUUGCAUAACUUAGCAAUGUUGCCUUCUUGUACCUUGUUGUUGAAUCUUCCUUCCAUUUUUAAUAAAUCAAUAAAUAUCAAAAUUUUGUUUUAAUUCAGAAAUCAGGCAAAUUUGGUGACUUUUUGUUACAUAAAUCUCAGGCUUUAUACCCAUCCACCAAUAACUUACAUAGUUUCUGUAGGAACUCAUUAACACUCUGAAAUCAACAUUGUCUUAUCUCCAAAAUCUGUAUAACCAAAAUUUUGUAUAUUUUUUUUCACCAAUCAGAAGUUUUAUAAUACUAUGGAUAAGAGUUAGAAACAGUGGUGAAAUGUAAAAUUUGUUACUACGGGUUCUAUGGGCAUGGUUUAGUGGGGGGUAAUGUGAUUGGGUGGGCGUGGCCAACUUUUUUUUUAACUUUUAAAAGCAUUUUUUCUACAACCUCUUCAGCCAAAGAGGUUGUAAAAAAUGCUUUUAAAAGGCUCUGACAAUCCCAGCUGAGCAGCAUGAUCAUCAGAGGCUUUUUUUUUUACUUUUAAAAGCAUUUGUAGAAAAAUGCUUGGGCAUGGGGGGGGGCAGGGAUUUUUGCUACCGGUUCUCCGAACCACCCACCGCCAUUGCUACCGGAUCAGGCGAUCCGGUCCAAACCGGGAGCAUUUCACCCCUAGUUAGAAAUAUUUCAAAUCAGAGUUAUAUAUUACAAUAUUCACAAAAAAUUGCCAAAGUUUGUAUUGGUUGUAUCAAGGUAUUCUAUAAAGCUCAUGUUUUGCAGCUCUCUCAGAAGAAGGUAAUAAAAUGCUCAUUUGGUCCCUCGAGGUGUGCCUAUUUUUUGGUGAAUGGGUAUAUAAUCUAAGAAAUUUGGAACAUAGCGAUACAAAAUGGUAUAGGUAGUCCUUGACUUAUGGCUACAAUUGAGCCCAAAAUUUCUAUUGCUAAGCAAGACAGUUGUUAAGAGAAUUUUGCCCCAUUUUACAACCUUUCUUGCUACAGCUGUUAAGUGAAUCACUACAGUCCUUAAGUUGGUAACAAGGUUGUUAACGAAGCUGGAUUCCCCAUUGACCUUGCUUGUCAGGUUGCAAAAAGUGAUCACAUAACUCCGUGACACUGCAACCAUCAGAAAUAUUGCCAAGCACCUGAAUUUUGAUCACAUGGCCAUGGGGAUGCUGCAAUGGUCAUAAGUGUGAAAAACAGUCAUGUCAGUUUUUUUCAGUUCUGUUGUAACUUUGAAUGGUCACUGAAUGAAUGGUUGUAAGUUGAGGACUACCUAUACAUCAUUUUGCCUUGGUUUUUGAAGAAAAAACCAAUCAUGUUGAUUUUGGAAUGCUCAGAGAUUUACCUUAAAAGGUAGAUCACUGUCAGUUUCCUUCUUUCAAGAAGAAUCGCUAGGUCAUUUUUUAAAAAAGUAAUCAUCUGCUGCAUGUUGUUCAAUGACAAUUAAUCUAGCUAAAACACUAAAAAGAAUGUUUCAAAUGCCCUUAUUUCUUAGCAAAUGUGCACACCAAUUUUCUACGGUUAGCAUGGUUAGACACUACUAUGGCAUGGUAACAUGAAGAACAAAAUUAGAUCUCCACCCAGUUCAUUAGUGAACCUUGAAUCAAUUAGUCUUUUUCAACCUAGUCCAUCUCACAAAGUAGAAACUGAAAGAAGAAAAUUAUUAAAAUACUUACAGAGAUGUUCUCUACCAAAUACAUUGUAUGUAGAUAUGUAAUAUGACCUCUUUUCUCAAACUGUUUUAGCAAUCUUGGUGGACUUUUGUAAACCAAGUGAACUAUAUCAUAAACUGUCAGGAGUUUGGAGAGGAUAAUUGUUAAUCAUAAUAUACUUGGCACGAAGCAACUAUUGGAGGGGGUGGAGGAGACGGACCUGUUUCAAUUCCUCUUAGAUAGUGCUGAUUACUACCUAGUUCUCAAAGCUAUUGUUUUGGAAUAGUCUUAUUGAAAUGGAAAAUCCCCAGAGUCAGCAAUUUGCAGAUUUCCCCCCCUCAACACUUUUUGGUAACAAAAAGGUAUAUGUUUGGGGUAUGUGCCUUUGAUCUGAAACAUGUUGUUCUUGUUCAAAAUCCUGUUUAUAGCUUAACCUUCCAUUGCAUUGUUAACAAAAGCAGCUGCUCCUUCAGGAAAAGCAGUGUGUCUCCUUAAGAUACCAAAGGUUUAGUCUUCUAGCAUAUUCUUCAUUUAUAGACAAAGCCAUUCACUCCCUAAUGACCAGAUUUUUUACCAUCAGACCGUGAGUGCUCCAGAGUUGGAAACAGCUAGCUAAGCAAGUCUAUUUUUAAUGUGUGCUAUUUUUGUAGCUACCGGUACCACAUCCCAAAUUUCCUCUCUGGCCUCUGAAGAAGCAUGUCAGUAAGUAUAUAUCCUUAUCACAGAAUUUGAUAUUAGGGAAAAGAAUCAGAUCCUUAAUGGAAUUGGGGUUUUAAUGCUUCAACAUCUUACAUCUUAUGAUUUCCACUAUAAUAUUUUGUUUCUCAAGUCAUUCAUCCCCAAGUUUUAUGAAUGUAAAUGUUGUAAAGAACUUUUUUUAAAAAGUCACUGUCCCCCUUUAAAUCAGGUCUUCACCUUGCAGCAAAGAUGGUUUAGGGCCAAAUUUUUGCUUUCAGCCUCUUCCAUCUGUUUCCAAAAGAUAAAUGAUAUUGCUUUAUACUUCUGAAUAACUCACUGAUAGAUGUAAAGUGGUCUAUUAAAGCUACUGGUAAUUUACCUUGAUCUAUAAGCAAUUUUCUGGUUUCACUUUUUAAUAUAUAAAGUUUUAUGUAUGAUGCAUGCAUGCUGUUUUAGGAAAUAAAACAUAUUAUAAGAACCAUUGAAACAAAUGCAUGUGCUAAAACAGAAAAAGUAUGGCUUUGCCAGUGCUCUUUUUGUAGCUGCCAAAGCUCCUCAGAUUGGGGAAAGAAUUUAAUCCCUUUUCAUUGUGGGGGAGGAGGGAGUUGUGAAUUUUAAGUUCAGAAGGAAAUGCUAAGCCUUUCAAAUGAACUUAAAAUUUAUUUGAUGGAACUUGUACUAUUGGAGUGCAGUCCUCAACAUGUAUGCAAACCCUUGGUGAAAGUCAAUAAAAGUUGUAUUUGUUAAUUUUGCUAGAGGUUCUGGAAGCUGUUGCUGAUGCAUAUGGACUUGAUCAGAAAUUAUGCUGUCUACUGAUUUACUCAAAAAUCUUGCAUUCCAACUUUUCUUAAUCAAGUGUCCUGAUAGUAUUGAGAACACACAGAAUCCCUGGCUAGCAUAGAUAAGGGCACUAAUAUGAACAUGAUCUAUUAUAUUUCAAUGUGUUAAGGGGUUUGGUGAUGUAGAAGUGAAGUCCAUAACACUGAAUCACUGGUUUGAUGUAUAAUCAAAGAAAAGUGUAACAUUAUUGAGAGGCUAGGCCCUUUGAAGUGAUAUAUAUUUAGGGAAUAAGGUUAAAACAGAAAUCUAAAAGAAGAAAAAUUAGGAAUGAAAACAGAAAAUGAAGAGAGGAUUCAAGGAUGACUAGAAAGGGGCAACAGUUUGGUAAUAUACAAAAUAUAUAAGAUAGGGGAAGGAGUUAAAGGAAAAUUUUCCCAAUGGAAUUUUACAGACCUCUAGUAACUGACACCUUCCAGAUAUGUUGUAUUAUUACUCCAAUAAUUCCCAAUGAUUAUUGUUGGAAAUUAUUGCAUUAUAAUCCCGCACAUGUGAAGGAUGACAGCUCCAUUACAACAUUGCUUUGUUAGGAUUUUUAUAUGAAUACAGUAGUUGAUUUCGAAGAAAAUCUGAAUUUUAAUUUUAUUUCCCAUCUCACCAAAGGCAACUCUGAGUCGCAUACAAACACAGUUCCUCUAUGCCUCUCUUCCCAUCAUCGGCCAAUGCAUUGAUUUGUUAUAAUUGUUUGAUUUGCUAUAAAUUGGAGUGUAACUGUAAUUAAGAGGAAAGGAAAUUUUGUCAGUUUGGAUUAAUUCUACUCUCUGCAGGAAUUUUAGAUAUUUACACAAUUAAAAAGACUCUUGUCAGAAAGGGAUUUGUUUGUUUGUUUAUUUGUUUCACUGACUCCAAACCAUUGUCAGCAUAGUGCAAUAAAUCAUACACUAUAUUAUGAAUGCUAUAACAGUUUACAUAAUAUACUAAGCCAGGGCUUCUCAAAGUGUGGGACAUUAUGGGCAACAUAGAAGAGGGUCUUUCUCUUCUUUUUUUAUGGUGCCCUAUGUUAGGAUAUCGUUUGAGCCUAACUAGUUGUGCAGGCAAUAUAUGUGUACUGUAACUUUAAUCUGUAAAUGUAUUAUGUUACUUUAAAGGUAUUCAUUGUAAUGCUGAGUCAUGCUGUAAUUAGGUAAUCACUGGUUGUGAGAGUAUUUAAGCAAGGUAUUGUAACGUAUUCAGUUUGAUGAUGAAACUGAUAUGAUAUGCUACCAGAGUAUGAUAUGCUACCAUAGUGAGGAGUUGCUAUCUGCUAAUCAUCGUUUGAUAGAAUCUGCUACCAUUGUGGUUUGUGAACCAGAGUGAGUUUGUUAUUCUAACCAACUAAUGUUUGUUUGGUAAGAAGAUAUCUGUAACUACUGGACUGAUUUAACUGGCAAAGACUUGGAAUUUGUUUAAAGACUAUGAGACUGUUUUUCUACUAUAAAGUAAGCUUUUUAUAAA